UUAGCCAUCUGAAUCUGGUUCUUUUUAAACUGCCAACUUGGCUCAACAAACUGUAUUACCUGAUUUAUGAUGGAUUGUAGGAUGGCAAUUUAAGAAGACCGGAGUACUUAGCACAGGAACGGAGUGGGCUUAGCGGGAAAAGGCUCUGUAUCUCUCAACAGCUCUGCUUUAUACCAUUUGUAGACGGACUCUUUUCUCUGCAUCUGAAAAUACACAUUAUAGGGGGGAGCACUUCCGGGUCACCACUGGCUGCCGGCUCUUGGCGCGAUGAGGAAACUGAGGCCCAGAGAGGUUAAGUGUAUUGGCCAAAGUCUAAGAGCUGGUAAGUGAUGGAGCCAGGACUCAAACUCAGCUUAGGAGCCACGUCCACCUUGUCUCCUUCACCCUUCCCUCGUGUGACUGAGACAUUGUGGUUUAAUCUGGAUCAUCCACCCUGUGUGGAGGAGACAGAGCUGCAGCAGCAGGAGCAAUAGCAGCAAACCUGGCUCCAAAGUAUUGCAGAGAAAGACAACAACCUGGUACCUAUUGGCAAGCCAGCCUCAGAGCACUACGAUGAUGAGGAAGAAGUUGAUGAAGAUGAUGACAUGCAGGACAUGGAUGAGAUGAAUGACUAUAAUGAGUCACCUGAUGAUGGAGAGGUCAAUGAGGUUGAACUCGCCAUUCCAGGGAAGUGCUCCUACCAGAAAGCUGCAUUUCACUUUCUGAAAAAGACAACAGGAAAGAACGUCAGUAGCAUGUCAAAAGGAAAGGACCUGCCCUGUAACAGAUAUCAGCAGCAGUCUAAGAACACGCUAGAAGACAUGACAUCAACUGUCCCUAAAAGUCCAAGGAGCCCAGUAGGAAAUAUAAAAGCAAAAUCACAAUCUGUGAACAAUAGUAAAUGACAGAGCUGACACAUGGUCGGGGCAAAAGGACAGUGCCAUUGCUGAAUUCCAUUGUUGCUGGGACCAAUUAUAUAAUGCCACUUGGAGUGAAACACUGCUAAAAGCCUCUUGAAAGCAGAUCCUUCUAAUGUCAUCUCCUGUUCCAGAGUCUAGAGCACAAGUUCCUAACCUCAGGGUCACCACCCAUUUGAGGGUUAACUUACCCUUUCACAAGGUUUGCUUAAGACUAUCAGAAAACACCAAUAUUUUCAUUACAAUUCAUAACAGCAAAAUUAUUGUUAUGAAGUAGCAAUAAACUUAAUUUUAUGGUUGCAGGUCACCACAACAUGAGGAAUUGUAUUAAAGGGUCGCAGCAUUAGGAAGGUUGAGAACUGCUGGUCUAGAGUAUGCCUCAUGACCCAAAGAAGGUCAAGGCAGAAAGGGAAAGACGGUUCCUAGAACCAUCAGCUUCCUUGAGUCCUGAUGAGGUCAGCCCCCCAGCAUGCUGGGCCCAAGUCCUUUUCCCAGGUGCUCUGAGAAUUUCCCGAGUAUGGAACCUCCCUGGACCAAAUCCCUCACUCCAGCUCAGAACAAUGUCCUUAGUGUGGAGAAGUGGUGGGAGAGGUAAUGGGUUUAAUGAAAGAAAUGGAUAUCUACUCAUUUAUUAGUGUUCAAAUUCACCAAAGACUCUUCCUGAUGUUCACUUAAACCUCUGUGUUUGGUUUGAGAGGACUAUAGCAGAUAUCUGGAUCUUUAUCAGGUCUUUCUACAAACCUCUAUAGGGUUGAAUUUUAUUUUUUGCUGUGCUUUAAAGUUUAGCAAAGGUGACUCUGGCCUGUAUUAGAGGAAAGAACCUGGACACAGAUAUCAUCACCAGCAGAGCUACACAUUGGGUUUGGGAGUUAGUAGUAGACUUAGAGAAAGCUCAGAAUACUAUGGAAUGGAUUGUACUAUUCAUGCAAUCCUUAUCCAAAACUCUGAAAUCAUAAAUACUCCAAAAUAUGAAACUUCUAAAGAAUCAACAUGAGGAGGCCAUGAGUAGAAAAUUUCACAUGUGACUUUAUGCCACAGGUUUUUGUCAAGAUACAAAUACACCCUCUAAAUAUUUAUUUUAUAUCCAUAGAUUAGCACAGCUGAUAGCCUGGGUCAGGGACAUUUCCAUUUACAGCGACUGAGAGCUAACACAGAGACCCAUACUAAUCAACAUGCUGAGAAUAAGUGUUUCUUCAGUGCUCAGCCCUAAACAGGACGUCUACAUUACCCCUACAAAAGCUUAGAGAAUGUCAAGGAAAACACAGAAAAAAUGUAGGAGCCAGGGGAUAGGGAGCAGUGGGGUGAAGUGUUAUUUUCUGGAUGUGACAGUCACAGCCAUUGUGCCCAUGAACUCAUAGCACUAGUAGCUGCCAGCACUAGUAGGUCCAUACCAAUACAAGGGUACAUCCAUCCAUUUCCAUCAUGAAGAGGAAGAGCUCAUACAGCCCCACCCCUCCCUGGAGAGCUAUGGACAGUUAAUGGCUAAUGGGCUAAAUAAAUCAUAUUCUUCAGUGGUA